rnacentral:rRNA from 1 species
GACGAACGCUGGCGGCGUGCUUAACACAUGCAAGUCGAACGGAAAGGCUCCAGCUUGCUGGAGUUCUCGAGUGGCGAACGUGUGAGUAACACGUGUGUGAUCUGCCCUGCACUUCGGUAUAAGCCUGGGAAACUGGUUCUAAUACCGUAUAGGACCGCACUUUGGUGUGUGUGGUGGAAAUGUUUUUCUGGUGUGGGAUGAGCUCGCGGCCUAUCCGUUUGUUGGUGGGGUUAUGGCCUACCAAGACGGUGACGGGUAUCCUGCCUGGGAUGGUGGACGGUCAGAUUGGGAAUGGGAGAAGGCAGAGAGUCCGAAGGGAGGAAGAAGGGGGGAAUAAUGAACAAGGGGGGAAACGCGGAUGAAGCGAGGCGGCGGGGGGGAUGAAGGGCUUCGGGUUGUAAAAAACAUGCGCGAGGGAAGAAGCUUUGUGUGACGGUACCUGGAGAAGAAGCACCGGCUAACUACGUG